rnacentral:rRNA from 1 species
UGGCCCUACGGGAGGCAGCAGUGAGGAAUAUCGGUCAAUGGGAGAGAUCCUGGACCAGCCAAGCCGCGUGAGCGAAGACGGUCCUAUGGGUUGUAAACCUCUUUUGUCGGAGAACAAAACCCGGGACGUGUCCCGGACUGCGUGUAUCCGAAGAAAAAGCAUCGGCUAACUCCGUGCUAGCAGCCGCGGUAAUACGGAGGAUGCGAGCGUUAUCCGGAUUUAUUGGGGUUAAUGGGUGCGUAGGCGGUCCGUUAAGU